UGAUUUUAAAUCACAUUUUCAGAUUUGACUUAAUGUGUAGUGUCCAUCUCUAUUCAGUCCCUUAGUAGAUCAAGAAUGUCAUGCUAUAGAAUGUACCUCUUUUUUAUUGGAGAAGAUGAUUCUGUUUCCAUUUUGAUAUCAGGUUCAUAAGCAGGGUGUUGCACUUGGAAGAUCUGUUGACUUGACAAAGUUUGAUGGUUAUGACCAAUAGAUCGAGGAGUUAGAUCAGCUAUUUGAAUUCAAAGGAGAAUUGAUGGCUCCAAAUAAAAAUUGGAUAAUUGUAUUUACUGAUAAUUAGGAUGAUAUGAUGCUUGUUGGAGAUGACCCUUGGCAGGAAUUUUGUGCUAUGGUCCGUCAAAUUUUUAUAUACACAAAAGAGGAGGUCUAGAAGAUGGAUUCAAGUACCUUGAACCCAAAAAAUGAAGAUUGUCCUGAUAUGAAAGAGAAUGUCAAGGAAACAAAAGGCAGUCAAUCUGCAUCAUCAUCUAAUUCAAAAAACUCAUAGGCUUAUCCUGCAAUGAUCUUGAAGCACAAACAAAGUGAUUGUUUGUGCUUUAUCUAAGUGAUUGUUUGAACAGUUUUAUAGCAUGCAUCUUGACAAUUAAUAU